CACGUAGGCGGCUUUUUAAGUCAGGGGUGAAAUCCUGGAGCUCAACUCCAGAACUGCCUUUGAUACUGAGAAGCUUGAGUCCGGGAGAGGUGAGUGGAACUGCGAGUGUAGAGGUGAAAUUCGUAGAUAUUCGCAAGAACACCAGUGGCGAAGGCGGCUCACUGGCCCGGUACUGACGCUGAGGUGCGAAAGCGUGGGAGCAAACA
rnacentral:rRNA from 1 species